rnacentral:rRNA from 1 species
AGGGAAUAUUGCGCAAUGGACGGAAGUCUGACGCAGCGACGCCGCGUGAGCGAUGAAGGUCUUCGGAUCGUAAAGCUCUGUCCUUGGGGAAGAAGGCGAAAGCUUGACGGUACCCAAGAAGAAAGCCCCGGCUAACUACGUGCCAGCAGCCGCGGUAAUACGUAGGGGGCGAGCGUUGUCCGGAAUUACUGGGCGUAAAGGGUGCGUAGGCGGCCCUUUAAGUCGGAUGUGAAAGCCCGCGGCUUAACCGCGGAAUGGCAUUCGAAACUGGAGGGCUUGAGUGUCGGAGAGGGUAGUGGAAUUCCCAGUGUAGCGGUGAAAUGCGUAGAUAUUGGGAGGAACACCAGUGGCGAAGGCGGCUACCUGGACGAUAACUGACGCUGAGGCACGAAAGCUAGGGGAGCAAAC